CAUUGAUCGAGACCGUUGGUGUCGCGCACCCGUCGCAUGCACGUCCACUGACCGCCGUCGUGGCGAAAGAAUUGGCGGUGGCAAAAGUAGACGUAGCGCACGGAAUCAAUGGGUUGCAGCGUCGCGCGUGCCUGGAGUCUGGACCGGGUGCGCUCCUCGGCAAGCAGUCGCUCCGUGGCCUCUUGCGGCGAGACCGCACCGUCUGCCCAUGCAACCGCCGUCGAUUUGGCAUCGCCCCCAUCAUCGGUCACCGCGCCCGAUCGCCAUCGCGCCAGGGCCUCGCAAAAGGCAAGGACGACGGCAUUCUCGUGGCGCAUGCACGAGACCGACUCGGGCAUUGUGUGGUGGUGAUCGCAGACGUGGCAGGUGCCCGGCGGCGCGUGUGCACCCGGCGUGCGCGCGCCCAAAAGACGCCGAUCAAUCUCUUUGGCGGUGCGGUAGACUAGGGUCGCAAUGGUUGGAUCAGCGACGACGUCGGGCAGGAGCGCAAAGCAUGUCCGAUGGACAAUCGCGACAAAUGUGAUGUCGUGGUCAAUCAACGUGCUGUCGGUGGCGACACCGUCGAGGAGCGUGCCACGACGCGAUGAUCCGUGGCGCCACAACAGGGUAAAGGCCGGGUGGCGCAUGCUCGCGCAGGCGGCCGUGCAAAAGGCCUCGUAGGCCUCGUGUGCCUGCCUGCCAUUGUCUUGGUCGCAGUUGUUGUCGUCGAGAGCGUUGUUCGAUGCGUGCGCAUUAGCGUCGGGCAGCGGCGCCCGACCACAUCGAGUCGCGCGCCACGGUCCGUCGGCGGCCUCGCGGGCAAAGCACACGGGCGACGGGUCGAGGUGAAAGGCACAGGCGCCUGGCGCGCGGCGUUGAUCGACAAAGAACGACCGCAUGUGCGCGUCCAAGACGGCACGAUUGAACCGGUCCUCGGCGUCGCCGUCGUCUUUGCAAAAGGAGGUCAGCGCGGCGAGCGCCUGGUCCCGGUCCGGAAUGGCAUCCUGCAUGGCGUCUUGCAUUCCCUCGCGAUUGCCCUCUCUUGUUGGCUGCCCUUUUUGCCGCGGCACCGCUCUCUCUUUUGUCUAUCUAUAAAGAAAAAAAAAGUCUUUUUCC
rnacentral:lncRNA from 1 species